CCUUAUCAGCCAAGGGUAUUGUAACUGCACCUUGAAUCUCUGUCAAGUACAGCUCAAAAGCGUUUCUUAGUUUUUGACAUUUUGAAAGUAUCCUGCGGGAUGUGAUUGCCUAAGCAGUUUGUAAUCCAGUAUCAUCAGAGUGAAGGUUUCAAGUUCAAAAGGGUGCCUACCAGAUUCAAUAUCUAAAAUUAUAAGUGAAAUUCUAUCGAUGAGUCUUUGAAGCUCUAAGCACAAAGAAUGGUGUACCUGCACAAAUGAAA